AUGACUUUGAGCUCCAUCCUCAUCUGGACUCUCCUCUGCUGCUGCUUGACAGAGUCCAGAGGCCAGGUCACAGUGACUCAGCCUGGAGCAGUGAGCGCUGCUCUGGGAGCCUCCGUCACCAUCACAUGUAACACCAAUCCUGCUGUUCCUUCUUGCAGUGACUGUAAUUCUACUGAUGGCAGUAAGGUUUACUUCUUAGCCUGGUACCAACAUAGAGAUGGAGAAGCUCCUAAACAACUGAUUUAUUGGGGUAAUCAUCGAGCAUUAGGGAUUCCACAUCGUUUUACAGGCAGUGGAUCAAGGAGUGACUACAUUCUGACCAUCAGUGAAGUCCAGGCUGAAGAUGCAGCAGUUUACUACUGUCAGAGUCGCCACAAAAUCAACAGUCAGCGUCUGUUCACACAGUGA